AGACCAACUACCAAUCCUUUCUGGAGAUUGCAGUUGAACUGAGCAUGUGUGACCCACUUUAAUGGGUUCUCUGUGGGUCAUAACCAAGGGCAACAUUUUUCAAAGUAAUGCCAGCAAAUGGGGGGAUUGACAGCACUCCAAUGACAGUCACCUUGUUCCUUACUAACCUUACUCGCCCUCCAGUAUGAGCCCAGCCUAUACUUUCCUUCUGGACUAGAUUCUCUCUGUAUCAUGUGACUGAGUAGCUGAAAAUGCCAAAAAUCACCGUCAGGCUUUGGUUUUAGGUGGUCCAUCAGUGGCCGAUGACACUUCAUUUCUUGGAGCUGCAGAUCGUAGCAUCUGCAGUUGAUGUACAGUAGUUCACAGUGAAGCU